rnacentral:rRNA from 1 species
GAUCCUGGCUCAGGACGAACGCUGGCGGCGUGCCUAACACAUGCAAGUCGAGCGGAGACAGUGAGUAGCUUGCUAUGAGCUGUUUUAGCGGCGGACGGGUGAGUAACGCGUGAGCAACCUUUCCCAGACAGGGGAAUAACACACCGAAAGGUGUACUAAUACCGCAUAAGACCACGGAAUCACAUGGUUCUGAGGUAAAAGAUUUAUCGGUUUGGGGUGGGCUCGCGUCCGAUUAGGUAGUUGGUGAGGUAACGG